AGCGAACGCUGGCGGCAGGCUUAACACAUGCAAGUCGAGCGGGCCCUUCGGGGUCAGCGGCCGACGGGUGAGUAACGCGUGGGAACGUGCCCUUCAGUUCGGAAUAACUCAGGGAAACUUGAGCUAAUACCGGAUACGCCCUUAUGGGGAAAGGCUUGCUGCCGAAGGAUCGGCCCGCGUCUGAUUAGCUAGUUGGUGAGGUUAUGGCUCACCAAGGCGACGAUCAGUAGCUGGUCUGAGAGGAUGAUCAGCCACACUGGGACUGAGACACGGCCCAGACUCCUACGGGAGGCAGCAGUGGGGAAUAUUGGACAAUGGGGGCAACCCUGAUCCAGCCAUGCCGCGUGAGUGAUGACGGCCUUAGGGUUGUAAAGCUCUUUUCUCCGGGACGAUAAUGACGGUACCGGAGGAAUAAGCCCCGGCUAACUUCGUG
rnacentral:rRNA from 1 species